CCUACGGGUGGCAGCAGUGGGGAAUAUUGGACAAUGGGGGCAACCCUGAUCCAGCCAUGCCGCGUGUGUGAAGAAGGCCCUCGGGUUGUAAGGCACUUUCAGUGAGGAAGAACGCCUGGUGGUUAAUACCCAUCAGGAAAGACAUCACUCACAGAAGAAGCACCGGCUAACUCCGUGCCAGCAGCCGCGGUAAUACGGAGGGUGCGAGCGUUAAUCGGAAUUACUGGGCGUAAAGCGCGCGUAGGUGGCUUGAUAAGCCGGUUGUGAAAGCCCCGGGCUCAACCUGGGAACGGCAUCCGGAACUGUCAAGCUAGAGUGCAGGAGAGGAAGGUAGAAUUCCCGGUGUAGCGGUGAAAUGCGUAGAGAUCGGGAGGAAUACCAGUGGCGAAGGCGGCCUUCUGGACUGACACUGACACUGAGGUGCGAAAGCGUGGGUAGCAAACAGGAUUAGAUACCCGUGUAGUC
rnacentral:rRNA from 1 species